UACGGGGGGUGCGAGCGUUGUCCGGAAUCACUGGGCGUAAAGGGCGCGUAGGUGGUUUGAUAAGGGUGUGGUGAAAGUCCGGAGCUCAACUCCGGAUCUGCCGUGCCGACUGUCAAACUCGAGGGCUGUAGAGGCAGACGGAAUUCCGGGUGUAGCGGUGGAAUGCGUAGAGAUCCGGAGGAAGACCGGUGGCGAAGGCGGUCUGCUGGGCAGUAACUGACGCUGAGGAGCGAAAGCGUGGGGAGCGAACAGG
rnacentral:rRNA from 1 species